AGCGAACGCUGGCGGCAGGCCUAACACAUGCAAGUCGAACGGAUCCUUCGGGAUUAGUGGCGGACGGGUGAGUAACCCGUGGGAACGUGCCCUUUGGUUCGGAACAACUCAGGGAAACUUGAGCUAAUACCGGAUGUGCCCUUCGGGGGAAAGAUUUAUCGCCAUUGGAGCGGCCCGCGUCUGAUUAGCUCGUUAGUGAGGUAACGGCCCACCAAGGCGACGAUCAGUAGCUGGUCUGAGAGGAUGAUCAGCCACACUUGGACUGAGACGCGGCCCAGACUCCUACGGGAUGCAGCAGUGGGGAAUCUUGCGCAGUGGGCGAAAGCCUGAAGCAGCCAUGCUGCGAGAAUGAUGAUGGUCUUAGGAUUGUAAUAUUCUUUCAGCGGUGACGAUAAUGACGGUACCCGCAGAAGAAGCCCCGGCUAACUUCGUG
rnacentral:rRNA from 1 species